GGCUACCCAAAUUCAUUUGCAACAGGAAAUUGAUCCCAUUUUUUGGAGCUCUCAAUCGGCAUACAUAUACAUCUCUCUAUGGACACAUCAAAGCAUGCUAAAAAGAAAACUGGUCAAAACGAUGUUAUGCGUGCUUUAUCAGAGUUGUUUUUAUGUCCAGGGCUCCGCCGUCCUCUGUUGCAUUUCCACUCAUUUUUUUCACCUUUUGUUCAUCAGAUCGGUUUUAUUGAUUGUUUCAGCGUACUUAUGGUUAUCAGGUUCAGGAGACAUAUUUGUAACCUUAAAUUUUGGCGGAUGUUGGUAAUGUGUAAUUUUUUUUUUCAAUCGACCAGGUUUAACGACAAUCUCAUUUUUGCGGCAAUAUUCUAACAUAUUUGGUUAUUUUUGGUUCAAGAGACAUAUUUACAGCCCGAAACCUUGGCGGAUGUUGAUAUAUCAUCUAUAAUCUUUUGUUUUCAAUUGGUUAUGUUUAAUGACAAUCUCACCUCUAUAAAGAUUGUGCAUGUGUUUUUAUAUCGAGUAGUGUAGUUUACAUAUUUGUUCAGAUGUUUGUUACAAAGGCAAAUUAGGAGAACAAAAAAGGAAUUUAUCUUAGUGAGGGAGGAAAACAUAAACUAGAGGGAGAAAAGAAAGAAAAGAAGGAAAGAGAAAUAACAGGGGAAAACGAAAAGAAAAAAAUUCAUAUAUUUCUUUCUUUUUUUUACGUACUAUGCAUGUGCAUUUAUAUGAAAUAGUAUAAUUUGCAGAUUUAUUCAGAUAUUUGUUACAAAUGCAAAUUAGGAGAACAAAAAAGAAGUCCAUCUUAGCGAUAGAGGAAAACAAAAGUUAGGGGGGAGAAAAAGAAGAAAAGAAGGAAAGGGAAAUAAAAGGGCAAAAAGAAAAGAAAAAAAUCGUACAUUUCUUUCUUUUUUUACGCAAUGUGUCAAAAUAAUUGGAUUUGGGUCUUCUUCUCUGUUUUCAUAUUUCUAAUUACAAGAAAUUUUGAAAAAUACCAAUGUAGUGGGUGUGUGUAUGUGUAUAUAUAUAUGUGAUAUAUUUAUCGCUAAGAAACACAUUUAUAAUUAUCAUCCCUUUUUUCCCCAUCAAUUUUUUUUUUUGGAAAUAAUUAUAUGAAGAGUCUUGGAGCUAAUUGAAACAAUCUUUGUAUGUACUACAUUUUCUUCCAAAUUACAGAAUUAAAAUUAUAAAGGACUUUUUUAUAUUCAUUAAUUUAUUUUUAUCACAGCGCGAAGCGCGGCAAAUUCACUAGUUCCAUAUAAAAUACACCCUCGUAUAAAUAGGAACAAAGGGAAUAUCAAACAACGUAGCUAUCAGUAUAUAUAUCAACUACUGAUGAUGGACUUUAUCUGCUGUGUAUUAAUACUUUACAUCUUUCUCGUAUUUCUUAUAUCUCUUAUAUUGCUGUUACUUUGUUAUUUUAUGGUAUUUAUGUUAUGUUA